GCUUUGUGGCUUCAAAUUCGUAUACUGGCGGGAGGCGGAACUAAGUUGUCCAUAGUAUAUACAGUCUAUGGUUUAUACCUGUAGACAUGAUGGCCAAUGGCACCCAAAGUUAGCACAGAUGAAGAUUGAAAAAAUACAUUUUUGUUGUUUGAGUGUGACUGUGACUGACUGUAUUUCUGCUGACAUUUGAAAGUGUUCAUGAUGGAGAGCUUAGUGACCAUCUCAUUGUGGAUGACUUGGCCUGAACUGGGCUGUGAAGCUAGUCUGUGAGGAGACAAUGAUCAGUGUCCUUAUUCUUUAAUCCUGAGAUCAGCACCAUCUAAAUCAUGGUUUUUGGAGAGAAUUGAAAAAUACCAGGGUCUCCAUCUCACUAUCUUGCUCUCAUUAACGAGUCCUCAAAAUAUCAGUGAAGCAAUGUGCCAUGGAUUUCAGACUUUGGGCAAGGUGUUUGUUGGAAAAUUUAAAUAUCUUUGUUAACUUUUGACAGUGGAAAAUUAGCUAAAAAUAGCUGGUUAGAUCCUCUCUUACAAACAUGAACAACAUUGGCAACAGCAAAAGUCAGCUGGAAUGGAAAUAGCAUUGUCUGCAGGACUGUGCAGUGAUUUGAUUUUACAAAGAUGACUGAGAAAACAAAACAAGGAGUUUUAUUUCUUCAUCAAAUACCUUCAGAAAAGAAUAUUCAACAUUUUUAACCUAUUAUUUACUGUAUUUACUGCCAAGGAGGUUAUGUUUUCGGUAGUGUUGGUUUGUUUGUUUGUUUGUUUGUCUGUGAACAACUUUACGGAGAAAGUAACAGACAGAUUUACCUGAAAUUUUCACCAGAGGUGCGUCUCAGCCCCAGAAUGAUCCCAUUACAUUUUGAUGGUGAUCUGGAUCACCUUCUGGAUCCAGGAAUUUUUUUGAAGGAUUCUUUAUCAUUGUGAGAUAGGGCAAAUUUUGGAAUUUUUGCAUUUAACUCUAUAAAAAUGGCCAGAGUCUUUAGUAAAAAAUUACACAAAAGGAUCUCAAUGAGUUUUAUGAGGUGUCAAAGGUUGAUCCUGAUCCAGACAAAAUUCUGGAUACUGUGAUCCAGAACACACAAAAAUAAGGGUGUCGUUGGAAUUUUCAAUGCUGAAAGAUAACCAAUGGGCGGCACAGUGGUGCAGUGGUUAGCACUGUCACCUCACAGCAAGAAGGUCCUGGGUUCGAAUCCGGGUCAGGGCAUUUCUUGUUUUAGGAACAUUAUGAACAGUGAACAUACCAGUUUAAACACAAAUAAAAGUUAAUAAAAGACACAUAAUAGUGAAAGUUUUGGUGUGAAUCACAAUAUAAGGGGGACAUGAGCUACUUGGCGGAGGUCUGCGCUCUCCGAGUGCUUUUCUAGUUUACAUAUGAAAACAUGUUUGCCAACCUCUGUGAUAAAACUUUGUCUGCUAUUAAAACCAGCUUUUAGACCUUCGUGUCAGGUCACCGAGUAUGACUAGAAAUAAACUGAUAGUUUUAUAUAUUUCUGUGUUCCUGUGUCAGAGAUCAGCAGCAUUUGUUUGCAGUGGUGUUAUUUUUGCCUUAGCAGAGCAAACUGUCACUGUUUCAGACCAUGCUGGUGUUUUGACUGAGCAGCACAAGCGUGUGGCGGGGCCGAGCUGUCACCAUGAGCUGCUCUGAGACAUUUUGACAUUUGAACACUGUAAACAAUCUCCCAUCAGGUGUUGUACACAAGCGCAAAGAGACAGCAGUGUGGAAAUGCUCGGCAGUCAGAGAAAGCUUCAGGCUAAGAGUUCAGCUUGAUCUGGAAGUAAACGUUGCCCUAGCUGUCAACGUUUACAUCUUCCUCUGUCAGGGGAAACAGAGAUUUAGCAGAGCGACACGGCGGCUGCAGAAAGGUUUAAUCAGUGCGACACACUGUAGACACACAGACAGAUACUGUCAAAUAGCUCACAAGGUCUGUGGUCACAUCGGGUUGUACCACCACUUCACCUCUGACAGGCCGGCACUGAGUCUGUAAAAAGAGAAUUUUUACCAUUCAGCUGUAUCGACUAAAAAAAGAGUCACACUGUGCAAAAAUAUAUUUAUAUCCUUCAUAGAUUUGUAUACCCUAUACAAAUCUGUAAAUGUCACAAACACAGUACAAGGUUUUAAUGAUGCACAUGUAUGUCCAUUCUAAAUUUUCAGUUUGGUUUAUCUGCAGCCAUUUCAGUGCAAAUGUUAAGUGUGUCAUUAUAGUAUUGCAAUGUAAAUCCAUGCAAUCAAUUCUAAAGACUGAAUACCUGUGAGCAGCUAAACAAUCUUUCAUUUCUGAAGAGGAUUUCUUUGACAUGGCAGCAGUGGUUUUGUCAGUGUGGGUGUUGUUUUUUCUUACAGUGAAUUCAGUAUCAGAAUUUAAAACAAAAGCCUUUCAAUAGAAGCAUAAAGAGAGCAGGAUUACCUGUGAUAAUCCAAUCUGCCAACCAUCUGACAGCUGUGACAGAGCUCCCAGGCUGUAAUGUGAUCAGUGUGCUGUAAUUGGUGCAAUCAUGGAAACAAAUCUCUGCGUACAUUAAGGCUCAGAGGAGAAAUCAUCGGCUCAUCAUUCCCUCUGAGAGCAGACUGUCUUCUCUUUAAAAGCUCCCAUCACCCUAAACCUCAACACUCAUCCUCAUCCUGGUUUCAAUAAAGUUAUAUGUUCAAAUUUGAAUUUAAUGUAAGAGCAAUGUGAAGGAUUUCUCAUAUUUCCGAUCCAGAUCAAUGUCAAAAUAAACUGACAUGUUGGGGAUCAGAUGUUCUUCCUUAAGCUGUGUCCCCCAGCUGCAGUCCAUAAUGGACUUGCCUGAGGUCUCGGUACAAACAAGUGGCUGCUUGAAGAGAGUCGGUGAGUUGUGUUUAGUCUCUUUGCUAAAGAAACCAAGCAAAGCUAAAAAGAUGUUUGGUGGCUAGUACUAUGGCUGGGACCCUAUAUGUACCGUUGAUUAAGUUAGGUGCUGUUCUGAGCAUUAUUUGUGGCUAUAGAGUGGCUUUUUUUUGUUGAGCGCCUGGGCUCCUUAGACUGCUGUGUAUUGCUAUCAUGCGGUCGUUACUAAAGUUGGUAUAACCAGAGAAGCAAGCAGUGGGCAAAAUUAAUCUCUCGAGGGGGUAUCUAACUCUAAUUAAUUAAUCAAUUUUAUGCCGGAAUAUCCCUUUAAGGAGAAGCAUCUAUUAAUCCUAAAUAUUUCCAGACCUGAGGAUUUCAGGCUCCUGUCUAAGUGUGGUCUAAAGUGUUCAACAUAUCAGUCAGUGAGUGUGCUGGAGGCAGGGCUUACCUAUCUGUUUAACCUCCCAAAGGUGUGACCAGCAGUUAACAGCUCCUUAUGACAGUUUUCCUCCAGCAGCAAACCUUACAUCAAUCUAAGUGACAGAGAGAAGAUAAAGAUACUCAAACACAUUUUCCACUCUGCGCUUUUUAAAACAUACCUGACCACAGAGUGGGAUAUUUUCAGGCCUCACAUUUUGCUUCAUGUGGCUGUGAGUCUGCAGACGGGGCAGUUAAACGUGUUUUUCACUGGCUUGCUCAGUCAGUGAGCAGGCGUUGAGAAGCGUCAGCUGAAUGUCUACAGUGGAAAUGGAAAUGUAACCUCAGAUCAUGCUCUCUUUGACUCAGUGUCACUCUGCUCCUCUUCAUGUUCCUUAUCAUCACCCCACAUGUCAUCCUCCCCCUUGCACUCUUACUCUCCUCCCCGCCCUCUCCACCUCCCCCUGUCCUCCCCCGCUCUCCCGCUCUGGUAGAACAACAGAAACAUGGAGGAUGGCGGUGACAGGUGACGCUGUGGAUGAAAGCCUCUGACUGCAGCGGCUGUCACGGCGCUCACAGAGAAGAGAAGGAACCAGAGGAAGAAAGGUUUGAGUCUGAGGGAGUGAGGGAGAGAAGGGGGGAGUGAGGGAGGAGGUGGAGAUGUGAACUGAAAUGGUGGAGUGUCGCCCUCAGGGCUCUGAGCCUCUAAUUGACUGCAGCAGGCUGACGGAGGCUUUUUGUGACUGUCACCUACAACACACACACACACAGGCAGAGUUCACAUAGCUGUAAGGUCGUGUGUUCCCCUCCCUCCUCUAACCUCUCCACCUCUCUCACAGCCUGAUCACAGCUCACACCUUUAUCACAGCUGAUCUGUUUCUAACUUUACACCUUCGCUGCAGCUCAUCUGAGUCUGAACACGGUUCAUCUCAGUGUUCUGGGCACAAACUUACAUCUGAGUUACAGGAGCUGUUUACAGUUUUAUAAUCUCUUAACAGGUAUCAUGUAUAUACAGGUACUUCUCAACCAGAGGUGUGCUCUGUUCAUCAAUAAUGUAACUCCACUAACAGUCCAUCUAUCCAUUUCUUCCACUUUUGCAGGACUGGGUCUUGAGGUAAGUCAUCUUACCAAGUCAACCCAGACCUCAGUCUCCCCAGAAGGGCUUUUAGCUCUGCAAAUGGGAUCCCAAGGAACUUUUAGGAUUUUAUCCCUCCAAUGAGCUCUGGACCUCCUUUACCGUCACCUUCCCACUGGCCCUCCCCCUGAGAAACCUCCAUGGAGGAGGCACCCAGGAGGUAUCCUUAUUAUAUGCCCAAACCAGCUCAGCUGACUCCUUUCAAUCCCAAGAAGCAGCAACUCAACUCCAACCACCCCAGGCCUGCUGGAGAUCCUGGCCUUAAUGCUGCAUUCAAGUUACCAGAAAAAAGCAAAAUUGAAGGUCUGAAACACAAUGGCUACAUCUACGAAAAGUUAUUUUAGCGCUUGCCAUGUCCGAAUAUAAGCAAGGACAAGGUAACUGAAACACAGGUAACUCGGGUGUGACGUCAUUUUCAGCUCGGAAUUCUGACUUCCGAGGUAACUCGAAUGCAGCAUAUGACCCCAACAGAACCAACCACAUGAUCUGUAAAGAUGGAGUUCUGAGGCUGUCACAGAUUAUGUAUGUGAUUUUCAUGGACAGGAUCUCAAGGGGAAGAAGGGUGCUUCUACGCUUGUCAUAUCACUAAUUCUGGGUCUCACUAUGUUUUUCCUUGUUUGUGAACAAGUAACCAUGGCAACAGAAUCCAAGAAUAAUAUAGUUGAGUAGAGCCUGAUAAAUGUGGUGCAGUAGUUGAUCAUGCUACAUUUGCAAGAAGAAGAGGAAACGCUACUGUGGACAGAAAAUGAGGCUGCUGAGGAAGAGGGCAAGGAACAUGGACAACACUACUAAGCAGACCAAUCACAGAGCUAGUGGCCAGUCUGUCGAUUUAAAACAGUCCCUUAGAGCUUCACUGGCUUGAGGUGUCCAUCUUCUGAUUUUGACUUUGGUCACAGGCUGCCUCAGUACACAAGGUCUGUAACAGGUUUGCAGAAAGAACGAGUUAUGAUCUGACUUGCCCAGUGGUGGUAAGGCAGUGGCUCUGUAGACUUCUUUGACAUUGGCAUACAGCAGAUCCGGGGUCUUGUUUCCUCUGGUAGGACAGUUCACAAACUGUGUGAAUCCAGUCAGGUGAGAGGAGAGGGUGACAUGGUUGAAGUCUCCCGAUAUUAUUAUUAGUGCCUCAGGGUGUUGAGUCUGUAGCCUGGCAACACUAUUUUGCUAAACAUUGCAACAUUUUUCAGUUGAUUUGGGUGGAAUGUAAACAAUUACUGUUAUGAUAUGACUAAAUUCUCUUGGAACAUAAUAUGGCCGGAGAGCAACUGCCAACAAUUCAAUAUUUGGACAACACAACUUCUCCUUGACAGUUGUGUGUAAAGGGUUAUACCAUCUCUGGUUGACAAAUAAAGCCAGACCUCCUCCUUUCUUCUUGCCACUAGCUUGAGCAUCUCUGUCUGACCUUAUGAGAGUGAAGCCAGGUAGAUCCACACUGGAGUCUGAGUUGUUUUGAUUCAGCCAGGUUUCAGUAAAACACAGGAAACUGCACUCACGAUAUGCUUUCUCAGUCUUCACCAAUAUCUCCAGCUCAUCGUUUUUGUUGGGCAGAGAGUUGAUGUUUCCCAUGAUGAUUGAUGGAAGAAAGGGUUUAUAUCGCCACCUCCUAGCAUUCAGCAUUGCCUUCCUCUUUGCACCAGAAUGGCAACCAUGAUAACACCUCCUGAUGUCCUCUGGAAUUAUAUGUUGUUGUCCAGAUUUGCUUUUCCUCAAUGAAAGGAGCUCUUCUCUUGAGUAAACUCUUCGCCCAGCAGAAGUAUCCAUCAGAUACUUAUUAUUAUUUUGUAACUGUCUUUCAUCCCUUCUGAUGUCCCUUCCCAUCCCUUUCUAAUGUAUGACUUAACAUAUGUAACUGUAUGCAGUUACAUAUGUUGGCCAAAGGGGGUGCACUUCAAAUUUCUACACACACUGUAAUUACAGAUUUUGGCCACAGAUGUCACUCUUCUGAAAACUGACACACACCCAAUUUGAAAAAUCCCUCCUUUUUGGGUCAUAGUGUUUUUACGAGAUUUCUCCACCAGACAUGAUAGUGAGCCAUUCUUUAUCAAAUGUAGUGGUUUUCCUUAUUAGGACCAUAUUUUUGGUUCUAACUUGUCCAUCGGUCCUAAUUUGGCGGCUACUUUUCUUGGUUGAUGUCUCAAGAAGGGUAGUAAUACAAGAAGGCAUGCCCUCACACACACACACACACACACACACACACACACACACACACACACACACACACACACACCAUAUAAUUUUCAAUAUCCUCAGAGAUGAACUCAUAAACUCCUUCAUUUAGUCACAAAAACGUUUAUUUUACAGAGGAGACUUUAAUUUGUGGCUUGUGGCUAAUUUGUACAAUGUGCCUUCAAUUCUUCAUGGACAGAAAAAAAACAAUCAUUGUUUCUCCAUUUUUGCCUGUCAAGCAGAUUAUUAAUGUUGAGUUCUAUGAAGUUAACAAAAACAGACCCUCAUUUCAUUCAGUUAAACACCAACAUGUUGCUUCAAAGUCACAGGAGAUGAGAAACAAGCAUGCACCAAACAUCUGUCAACAGAAUACAAGCUGAGUGAGUGUCUACAUGGCUGUUUAACCAGAUAACAAAAUGGUAACUGGAGAUCACUCCCCCUUUUCCUGAUCAGCAGUUUUAUCCUGUUCAAACUGUUUAUAUGAGGUAGUGGAAGUGUUCAGACCAGCUGGUCAAGACCUCUGACUGACAACUGAAAUAAAACUGGAGAUUUUUAUAUUUUAAUUAGAUAUUUAGACCUGAUUGAGUUUUUUUCUCAUAGACUUUCUCUUGCUUUUUCAUGUUUUGCAGAAAAACAUUCACAUCCUGCAGAUAUCUGCAUGCAGACAGAGUCAAACAUAAAAACAAACACUCUGAAAAAUCCUGCACUCCAGGGUAUGUCUGCAUAUCAUCACAGCAUUCACACACAUGCACCAUCUCCCAGGACAGCCUGUUGGAUGAACUCUAACAUAUUAGACCGUCUUUUCCCCCACUAUCUCCUGAAACACACAGAAACCCACACACACUCUCUCUCACACACACAAAUCUACUGUAAGUCCCUGAAUCAGGCGACAGAUGUCCCCUCAGAGGUUUGUGAGGCCUUUUAUCAAACCAAAGAUCCACGGGGACUCGUUCAGAUGGACUCUCUGACAAAAACAUGUUGAUAAUGGCCAUGCCACAGAGAGACAGUACAGGGGGAUUAUGGGAAAGAAGGGCACUGGAUAGAUGGAGGGAUGGAUGGAUAAAUGGCUUGAUUGUAAAGUGGCUUGGUAUGUGAGUGGUGAGGGGUGCAAAGGAGGCAGGGCUGAGGUCCCAAGAGGUGUGGUCAAGACCAGAUGGUAUUAGUCUGUGGAUCUGUGACCCACUCUGACAGAGGCCUUCACACACACACGCACUAAAAACACACACUCAGAGAACUGAACUUAGGUGUUGAUUCAUUGACCAAAACUUUCAGAUUAUUUUUCAGGUCAGGUGUUUGAUGGUGUUUAACCGACUCUUGCUGUUCCUUAAAUGUAAUUGUUUUAAACACACCAUCAGCUGUUUCCCCCAUUAUUACAGACCUGACACUAUAGAGAUAGCAG